UACGUAGGGUGCGAGCGUUGUCCGGAAUUACUGGGCGUAAAGAGCUCGUAGGUGGUUUGUCGCGUUGUUCGUGAAAACUCACAGCUUAACUGUGGGCGUGCGGGCGAUACGGGCAGACGUGGAGUACUGCAGGGGAGACUGGAAUUCCUGGUGUAGCGGUGGAAUGCGCAGAUAUCAGGAGGAACACCGGUGGCGAAGGCGGGUCUCUGGGGCAGUGAACUGACGC
rnacentral:rRNA from 1 species